CUAGUUGUCGGGUUUUAAUUAACUUGGUAACGCAGCUAACGCGUGAAGUAGACCGCCUGGGGAGUACGGUCGCAAGAUUAAAACUCAAAGGAAUUGACGGGGACCCGCACAAGCGGUGGAUGAUGUGGAUUAAUUCGAUGCAACGCGAAAAACCUUACCUACCCUUGACAUGUACGGAAGACCGAAGAGAUUUGGUUGUGCUCGAAAGAGAACCGUAACACAGGUGCUGCAUGGCUGUCGUCAGCUCGUGUCGUGAGAUGUUGGGUUAAGUCCCGCAACGAGCGCAACCCUUGUCAUUAGUUGCUACGAAAGGGCACUCUAAUGAGACUGCCGGUGACAAACCGGAGGAAGGUGGGGAUGACGUCAGGUCCUCAUGGCCCUUAUGGGUAGGGCUUCACACGUCAUACAAUGGUACAUACAGAGGGCCGCCAACCCGCGAGGGGGAGCUAAUCCCAGAAAGUGUAUCGUAGUCCGGAUUGUAGUCUGCAACUCGACUACAUGAAGUUGGAAUCGCUAGUAAUCGCGGAUCAGCAUGUCGCGGUGAAUACGUUCCCGGGUCUUGUACACACCGCCCGUCACACCAUGGGAGCGGGUUUUACCA
rnacentral:rRNA from 1 species